rnacentral:rRNA from 1 species
CGCCCAACAGCUAGCCCACUUAAAGAAUUUCAACAAACCCUUGUUAAUAACCCCUAAAUACCCCAGUAUUUAAAUUAAACAAACCAUUUUUCCCCCCUAGUAUAGGCGAUAGAAAAGGGACUACGGCGCUAUAGAGAAAGUACCGCAAGGGAACGCUGAAAGAGAAAUGAAACAACCCAGUAAAACCUAAAAAAGCAGAGAUUUAAGCUCGUACCUUUUGCAUCAUGAUUUAGCGAGUGUACCCCAAGCAAAGAGCACUUUAGUUUGACGUCCCGAAACUACGUGAGCUACUCCAAGACAGCCUAUUAAUAGGGCACACCCGUCUCUGUUGCAAAAGAGUGGGAAGAGCUUUGAGUAGAGGUGACAAACCUACCGAACCUAGUCAUAGCUGGUUGUCCAAGAAAUGAAUAGAAGUUCAGCCUCUUGGCUUCUCUUUUCACCCUAGUCUAACCCCUAUUGAUGCCUUAAAGAAACCGAGAGAGUUAGUCAAAGGGGGUACAGCCCCUUUGAAUCAAGACACAACUUUAUCAGGAGGGUAAAGAUCAUA